GACGUAGGAUGCAAGCGUUGUCCGGAAUUAUUGGGCGUAAAGAGUUCGUAGGCGGUUAUUUAAGUCUGGUGUUAAAGACGGGGAGCUUAACUCCCGCAUGGCACUGGAAACUGGAUGGCUAGAGUGUGGUAGAGGUCUCGGGAAUUCCAGGUGUAGCGGUGAAAUGCGUAGAUAUCUGGAGGAACACCGGUGGCGAAAGCGCGAGACUGGGCCAUAACUGACGCUGAGGAACGAAAGCCAGGGGAGCAAACGGG
rnacentral:rRNA from 1 species